rnacentral:ncRNA from 1 species
UGACCUCGGAUCAGACGUGAUUACCCGCUGAAUUUAAGCAUAUUAUUAAGCGGAGGAAAAGAAACUAACAAGGAUUCCCCUAGUAACGGCGAGUGAACGGGGAAGAGCCCAACACCGAAUCCCUUGGCGCAAGUCAACGGGAAAUGUGGUGUUAAGGUAGCCCUUCGUGUCAGUCUAGGCGUCUCAAGUCCACCUGAUUGUGGCUCAAGCCCAGAGAGGGUGUAAGGCCCGUAGAGACGCUCCGACUGAUUCCUGGGGUUUACCUACGAGUCGGCUUGUUUGGGAAUGCAGGCCAAAGCGGGUGGUAAACUCCAUCCAAGGCUAAAUACUGGCACGAGUCCGAUAGCGGACAAGUACCGUGAGGGAAAGUUGAAAAGAACUUUGAAGAGAGAGUUCAAUAGUACGUGAAACCGCUUAGAGGCAAACGGAUGGUGCUCAUACUGGCCUGAGGAAUUCAACUGUGACGGUGGCUGGACGAGCUGGCGUUCCGAUCUCUCUUUUGGGACGGGCGUCGGUUUGGCUAUCAGCUCCGACAUGGUGCACUUUCCUUGGUGCCUCCGCCACGACCGACGACACUGGCUACCCGCGGCUGGGGUAAGGUGACAAACUGCUUCGGCAAUUUGUGUUAUAGACCCCGGCGUCGGACAUGGUUUGGCCAGGACGUCGAGCUUGCGGCGCCCCGCUCCUUGUGGGCUCGCAUGUUGGCUAGCUUGGCUGCGCCGAUGCUUGCACUGGACAACCAGUACAGGUGACGGUUGUGGUCUUGUCUCUAGUUGGCCUCUGCGAGUUUGGCGCCUAUAGUCUGUGGUGUACUUGUGGGUAGACUAUCCGACCCGUCUUGAAACACGGACCAAGGAGUCUAACAUGUGCGCGAGUCAUGGGGAUUCUACGAAACCCAAAGGCGCAGUGAAAGUAAAGGCCUGCUUCUCGUAGGCUGAGGUGGGAUCUCGUGCAUCGCGAUUGGCGAGCGCACCACCGGCCCGUCCUAUCUGUCUCUGUCAGUGGGGCGGCGCAAGAGCGUACACGUUGGGACCCGAAAGAUGGUGAACUAUGCUUGCGCAGCUCGAAGUCAGUGGAAAACACUGAUGGAGGAGCGCAGCGUUUCUGACGUGCAAAUCGAUCGUCAAACGUGAGUAUAGGGGCGAAAGACUAAUCGAACCAUCUAGUAGCUGGUUCCCUCCGAAGUUUCCCUCAGGAUAGCUGGCACUCGGGAAACAGUUUUAUCCGGUAAAGCGAAUGAUUAGAGGCAUUGGGGUCGAAACGACCUCGACCUAUUCUCAAACUUUAAAUGGGUAAGAUGCUCGUCUCGCUUAAUUGGAGGCGGGCUUCACCUCUCUAUAAACGUGAAUGUGAGUGCCCAGUGGGCCAUUUUUGGUAAGCAGAACUGGCGCUGUGGGAUGAACCAAACGCGCGGUUAAGGCGCCCAAUGCGGACGCUCAUGAGACACCACAAAAGGUGUUGGUCGAUACUGACAGCAGGACGGUGGCCAUGGAAGUCGGAACCCGCUAAGGAGUGUGUAACAACUCACCUGCCGAAUCAACCAGCCCUGAAAAUGGAUGGCGCUGGAGCGUCGGGCCUAUACCGUGCCGUUGGGGCGAAGCAGACAAAUAAUCUGUGUGGAUGUCCCAACGAGUAGGAGGGUCGCCGUGGUGAGCGCAGAAGGUGCGGCCGUGAGGCCGGCUGGAGCCGCCACGGGCGCAGAUCUUGGUGGUAGUAGCAAUUACUCAAGUGAGAACCUUGAGGACUGAAGUGGAGAAGGGUUCCAUGUGAACAGCAGUUGAACAUGGGUCAGGCGGUCCUAAGCGAUCGGGUAACUCCGUACCUAGACGAGGGUGACAACUAUCACUGAUAAUACUGUGAAGUGUUAUAGCCCUCCGGAGCGAAAGGGAAUCGUGUUAAUAUUCACGACCCUUACCGUGGAGAUCGCCCCUUUCGGGGGGCAAGUGCGGUAACGCAAACGAACACAGAGACGUCGGCUGGAGCCCCGGGAAGAGUUCUCUUUUCUUUGUAAGGAGCGUACCCCCUGGAAUCGGCUUGUCCGGAGAUAGGGGCGUGGCUUCCGUAAAGCAGCGCGGGUCUUGCGCUGUCCGGUGCACUCUAGUCGGCCCUUGAAAAUCUGUGGGAGACAGUGUGAUUUUCACGGUAGGCCGUACCCAUAUCCGCAGCAGGUCUCCAAGGUGAACAGCCUCUAGUCCUAGAACAAUGUAGGUAAGGGAAGUCGGCAAAAUGGAUCCGUAACUUCGGGAAAAGGAUUGGCUCUGAGGGCUGGGUCGGAUGGGCUGGCGUAAGAAGCUGUUCCGGUUUUGGUGAGGACUGGGCGAGGCUUUCGGGCUUUACUCGGACCAUGCCGAGACCAGGCAGUAGACGACGUCAGCUGUGCUUGUCGUGUUUCGGCGCGGCAGCUUCGUCCGGCAACAAACAGCCAACUCAGAACUGGCACGGACUAGGGGAAUCCGACUGUCUAAUUAAAACAAAGCAUUGCGAUGGCUGUUGCUCGGUGUUGACGCAAUGUGAUUUCUGCCCAGUGCUCUGAAUGUCAAAGUGAAGAAAUUCAAUCAAGCGCGGGUAAACGGCGGGAGUGACUACGACUCUCUUAGACGGGCCGCUUGAUGAUGGUGUGCUGGACUGAGAGACAAACCUGAGCGUGGCGUGGGCAGACCAGCCUGCUGUUACUUGGUGGACAUGCAGGUUAGGCCACUGCCACCUCGAGAUGGUGAAACUAUGCUAUGUUGAGGCAGAAGCUUGGCCGAAGCUUGGAUGACUGUUCAGUAAUGGCGGCUGGAUGCCGGGGGGCUCCAGUUCGAAAAAUGGCUCCACUACUGGGGAAACCUGGUAGAGGGUGAACAUUACUGAUCAGGAUUCCGGGCUAAAGCUUUGCUUCUAGUGCGGAUGAUUGUGAGGAUUGUUCUGCCUUCGGAUUGGGUGGCCCCCCGCACCCGGUUCGGUCUGGUGGUUCGAUUCUCACCGGAGGGAUCCUUGCUCCGUAGGUACGCCCUUGGAGUAGGGGGAACUUCGCUCGAAUUGAAACACGGAUCAGGAUCGGGCCUGCACGCGCUAUGGUCGGGUGCGGCUCGAACUCUAACAUACUUUCAUUUAGCUGGUCUCCGCUUAGGCGGGUCCGGGUUUCGAUUCGGAUGUUGAUGAUCGCAGGGUAAAGGCGCGAUGGCAGAGCUGGCUCGUCUUGGCGACGCCGGAGUGCUUAUCCCUGUCUGACAGUGUUGGUGCCUCCAAGUGGCGAGAGUCGGGCAACGGUGCGGUCGAGUGCGAUGUAUAUAUGUACUUUUUUAUUCUGUUUAUCUUUUAUUUUCACUUUAUUAACUUUUUUCUAACUUUAAUUUUAAUCGUUCUGGUAUUGUUACCUUUAUAUUUCUCAUUAUUAUUA